UGGGAGCAAACGUUAGCAGGCUGCGAUAUUCAAAAUGAUGCUGGAUUGCAAUUGGUUGGACGAAUGCGGAGCACAGGGCAUCCACAAGCAUGGCAGCUGAUAAAUGACUUGGUUUCUCAGAUAUUUGAUCUGUGUAAGAGUGGUAAUCCUCGUCCUUCGAAUCGUAUAAAGACUAGACUGAUUGAGUUUCUUACUAUGACACCGCGAAAUGCUACUGAAAAAUCUGCCGAGCACCUUCAGAUUUUUCUCUCUUCGUGCGCCCCGGCAGCUUUGGUAAUGCUCUAUAUGUCUCAAGCUAAAGUGAACAAGGAUACUGCUGAUGAAUCGAUUCGUCAAUUUAUUAAUUCGAGUAAGACUGUUUUGCCUAAUCCUAUAUAUACGCAAUGUGCUCCUAUAAUUUUAGAAUUCUGUAAGUUGCUUAGGGCGUCUGCUGGUGUUGAUGAUUCUUUAUAUGGUGUUUGUCGGAGUAGUUUAGGGGGUAUUGUAGAGUCUGUUGGGGUUCUAAGUUGGGAGAGUAAGAAGACUGAUGGUAAAGAUGUAAUGGAAUUGCAAGACAUUUUCCCAUUUGUUCGCGAACUAGCAGCUAAGUUAUCACAGGCUUUAGAAUCAAGUGUGGGAUCAGACAUGGUAAUGGGGCCUUCUUCGAGUGAUGUGCGUGAUUUUACUGCAUUUAUAGGUCCUAUUAUGAAUUUGAUCGGGGAUCAUGUAGCGAUUUGCAGUCCAAUCGCUUUUCCGUUGCAGGAGGAAGGCACCAGUGAGGAGGAAAGCAAAAGAUUUGAGAUGUUGUAUUACAGACAGCAGAUUAAAUGUUUGCAUGAUAUUUACUUUGAUUUGCUUGAGAAAUUAGAGCUAUGUCUAAAGAAAAUGGAAGAAUCUUUAGCAUUGAAAGAGAAAGGAGAAGGUGAGCCUCUUGUAUCCGGGUGGUCCCAGUACUUUGCAAUUCUGAAGGAGAUAAAUGCUAUAUCAAAACUUUAUAAGG
rnacentral:misc_RNA from 1 species